UCCGAGUUGACCCCGGCAGUCUCCUGCGAGUCCCCGGCGUAAUCCGCUGGCAACACAGGAUAAGGGUUGCGCUCGUUGCGGGACUUAACCCAACAUCUCACGACACCAGCUGACGACAGCCAUGCACCACCUGUGCACCGGCCCCGAAGGGCUGUCGUAUUUCUACGACUUUCCAGUGCAUGUCAAGCCUUGGUAAGGUUCUUCGCGUUGCGUCGAAUUAAACCACAUGCUCCACCGCUUGUGCGGGCCCCCGUCAAUUCCUUUGAGUUUUAAUCUUGCGACCGUACUCCCCAGGCGGGAUGCUUAAAGCGUUAGCUGCGCCACUGACGAGUAAACCCGCCAACGGCUAGCAUCCAUCGUUUACGGCGUGGACUAC
rnacentral:misc_RNA from 1 species